UGCUUCAUCUUCGUCGUCAAUUCAACAAUCCCAUCAUCGCGUUCUUCUUCAUUCUCAUAUCUCUCUCUCUCUCUCUCAAUUGCUAGGACUAAAACCCUAAAAUCAUGGGUCAGUCGAUCGGCUCGUUCGAGAUUACGGGGGUUUGUUGGAAACAGUGAGUGAUUGAAGUCGAUUGUUAAUGUGAUCAUGGGUUUGCGAGCUAUGCUGAGAAAAUGGUGAAGAGUUUGCCAAUUGAGUUGAGUUCUUUCCUGACUAAAAAGGGUGUUAGUGGACAUGGAUGUUGUGGGUGUUCCUCGCAAUGUGGAAACAUUAAUUUAAUUCGAUGUUAUGUUAGUUGUUUGUGUAAAAUUCACAAGACCGAAGAUGCCUUGAACCUGUUUGAUAGAAUGGGUGAGUGAGUGGGGAUGUCACCUACCCAGAUGAGAUGAGAAAACGUUUCUUGUUCUAUCUAAUUAAGAGUACUGGGGAAGGAAGGAAGGAAGGAAGGAAGGAGUCGAGAUGAUUGAUAAUCAAAUGAAGAAAUCUGCAGGAUUCGGGGAAGCACUCAAUAAGAAGAAUGCCUGUAUCAUGUAUUACGGGUUUCUUAAGAUUUUGUGUGGAAUUGAAUUUGAGAGAAUUUGAUCAUCUAUGAGUGUAGAUGAAGGAGGAUGUUGUAAUGUAAUCCUGGGAUUCAAACUUAUGACUUGUUUUGAUGGGGAAGUUGGUUGAUCUGAUCACGGCCGUGUGGAUUGAGUAGGGUUCCAUUAUACAACUUUGAUCCUUUACUUUUUGUGCUUCUUCUUGUUUCGGUUUUAAUGUUGGCAACACUUGAAUUACAAAUAAAAUCCAAAUUGAAGGGUAAAUUUUGUUGUCUAUGCAUUUGCAUUUGCUUUUGUUUUUGUUUUUGUUUUUGUUUUUGAAUGAUAGGAAAUGAAUGAGAUAAACGGAAGCUUGAGCGAAGAGAAGGCAUCAGUCCCGAUCAUGCGCAGCUUCUCAAGCUUGCAAAUCUGUCUGAGCUCUGUUUAAGAUAAGAUCGUAUGGAAGCUAAAAUAAACUACUAGAGUGCGAUGAAUAUACUGGGAUAUAUAUUUUUGUACUACAGACAAACCUUAUAGAUGAACAGCAACGUCAACAGCACCGAAGCUGCCAGUGUCAAAAAUGCAAUAUGAUUUCCUUUGGCAGAGUUUGGUAAAACUGGAUAGGCGUCGGGAGGUGGAAGCUUGCAUUCAUCCCCAUUAAAGUAAACCUUCCGAGGG